rnacentral:rRNA from 1 species
GACGAACGCUGGCGGCGUGCUUAACACAUGCAAGUCGAACGGAAAGGCCCUGCUUUUGUGCGGUGCUCGAGUGGCGAACGGGUGAGUAACACGUGAGUAUCCUGCGCUUGACUUUGGGAUAACUUCACGAAACUGGGGCUAAUACCGGAUAUGAGCUCCUGCUGCAUGGUGGGGGUUGGAAAGUUUCGGCGGUUGGGGAUGGACUCGCGGCUUAUCAGCUUGUUGGUGGGGUAGGGGCUUACCAAGGCUUUGACGGGUAGGCCGCCUGAGAGGGUGAACAGGCACAAUGGGACUACGGGAGGGAGCAGAAUCGUACGGGAGGCAGCAGUGGGGAAUAUUACACAGCGGGCGGGCGUCUGUUAAGACGGCGUUCGGAGCGGAAUGCCCGCCUUCUGGUUGUAAACAGCUGUCGCAUGAGACGAAGCGGGAGUGACGGUAAUGGGUAAGGAAGCAACGGCUAACUACGUG